rnacentral:tmRNA from 1 species
GGGGCUGACUUGGAUUUCGACAGAUUUCUUGUCGCACAGAUAGCAUGCCAAGUGCUACUUGUAAAACAGCAACAAAAAUAACUGUAAACAACGCAGAUUACGCUCCAGCUUACGCUAAAGCUGCGUGAGUUAAUCUCCUUUUGGAGCUGGACUGAUUGAAAUUUCUAGCGUUUUAAUCACUCCAUAACCUUAAGCUAGACGCUUUUAAAAGGUGGUUCGCCUUUUAAACUAAGAAACAAGAACUCUUGAAACUACCUCAAGGUUUUAGAAAGUUGGACCAGAGCUAGUUUUAAGGCUAAAAAACUAACCAAUUUUCUAAGCAUUGUAGAAGUUUGUGUUUAGGACAAGAUUUUUGGACUGGGGUUCGAUUCCCCACAGCUCCACCA